UACGAAGGGUGCAAGCGUUAAUCGGAAUUACUGGGAGUAAAGCGCGCGUAGGUGGUUCAGUAAGUCGGAUGUGAAAUCCCCGGGCUCAACCUGGGAAUUGCAUUCGAUACUGGAUAGCUAGAGUUCGGCAGAGGGAAGCGGAAUUUCGGGUGUAGCGGUGAAAUGCGUAGAUAUCCGAAGGAACAUCAGUGGCGAAAGCGGCUUCCUGGACCAGAACUGACGAUCAGGCUCGAAAGCGUGGGGAGCAAACAGG
rnacentral:rRNA from 1 species